ensembl:lncRNA
CGAAGAGCCUCGGAGGCCUCGGACCCCCGCAGCGGGGCUCGCCAGGGUCCGCGGGCGGCGGCGCCGGGGAUUGUGGGAGCCGCCGGUGGAGAAGAAGCGUGGGCCUGCCUCUCUCGGCCCUCAGACCCGCCUCCUACCAGUGCCCCAACUCUUUCCGAAAAACCUCUCCGGGGGGUGCAGAGGAGCCAAAGCUCUCCGCCGGACCUGGAACGCGUUCCGACUCCAGAGCCUCAGCCAUUGAACUUCAGAUCUAAACUAAAGCCGUCCCCACAGAAAAGGCCUUCUUCAAUGAGCUGACGGUCUCCGAAAAGGUCUGGAGUUGGGAAACACUGAAUAUUUAACAACAAAGAAAAGGCCGGACGGCAAGAAUGCCUAGGGGAAAAAUCCAGGGGCUUUGCAGAAACAAUGCCUUAGUCCAGUCGUGUUGGCGUGAUCAGCCACAACCGGGAGGAAAAGGCGAAGCUGUCUGAAAUACUUAAGAGCCAACCUCUCGGAAUGGAAAAGUGCCACACAUCCUACAACUCUUAAGAGACUUGUCAACCUUCACACUUGCAAAGUCAAGACAAGGCUUUUCGGAGAAAAAUGCUGGGAGUGGGCGAAGGACGCUGGACGUGGAAGACAGAGUGGCUGGAGGUUCGCAACACUGUACAGGAGGCAGUGACCAAAACGACCCCCAAGAAAAAGAAGGAACUCCACCAAUCAUGCAAGAGAGACCUGAUCAUUACUGGUCACUCAAAAAUGAUUCAUCUUCACUCUCCUCCAGAGGUCUGUGACAGCAGGCGGAAGACUGGCAGUGUGGUAGGAGACACAACAGAAGCCAGGGCUGGUUCACCAGGUGCUGGUUCAUCACCAGGAGCUGGCUCGUGUGCCCGCGGACAAGAGAGGACCUGCAGGUAGCUUCUUCCUGGAGGACUCAGCCCAGACAACUUCUCCACCUAAGUGACUUAACACAUUGCUGCCCCAAAUGUCAACUUACUUGAUUCCAACAACAGUUCAAGAUUUAGGCAGAAAAAGGACAUGCAACCAAAAUGUGGUGAAGUCUCGACAUCCCCGGAACCCCAGGUGCUCCUGAGCACCCGCCUCCUGUGGGUCCUAUGAGUCUCUCCUCUCCCACUAUUUCUUCCUCUCACACAGUUCAUCUCACUAACUAGUUAUGACCUGGGCUUUUUUUUUGGCGGGGGGGAAGGGGGCAUUACAGGGCAUAUGGAAAAUUCUCUAAUCAGAGAUCCAACCCACACCUCCUGCAAAGGAAGCUCAGAAUCUUAACCACAGGAACACCAAGGAAGUCCCUGGGCUCCUUUCUUUUCCUCCCCACUGUCUCUUCUGAGCAUUAUCUCUACCUUGAAGCAGAUCCCUCACUGCAUCGCCCCAGUCUGUUUUCCAGCUGCACUCGAGACAUCACCAUACCAUCACCAUCCUGUGAAUACCUAUUUCAUGAAUACUUAAUUGCCAGGCAAUAUGCUCAACCCUUUGUAAGCACUGUCUCAUUUCAAUCCUUGCAGGGUGAAAUCAGCUUACUGAUAGGGAACUGACAUGUAAAGAGGCUAAAGCAUGCCUUCCCUGGUGGUUCAGUGGCUAGGAUUUUGCCAAUGCAGAGGGUGUGGGUUCGAUCCUUGGUCAGAGAGCUAAGAUCCCACAUGCCUCUCAGCCGAAAAACCAAAACAUAAAACAGAAGUAACAAAUUCAAGACUUUAAAAAUGGUCCACAACAAAAAAAUCUUUAAAAAGAAAAGAGACUAAAUAAAGAAGUUGCCCAAGAUCACAGAGUAAGGCACCAAGUAACCACAGAUGCGACUCCCAACUCUCCCCAGCUGCAGAGUCAACAUUCUGGACCAGAACAAUCUGGCUGUCUCGCCAGGCCCUUAAACUUAAUGCCUCCACACUGAACUCAUCUUUAUCCCUUCCCUCUAUACUCUCCUCAAAUCCCCUUAUUUACUGGUUCCCAAAGACUCG